UACGAAGGGGGCUAGCGUUGCUCGGAAUCACUGGGCGUAAAGGGUGCGUAGGCGGGUCUUUAAGUCAGAGGUGAAAUCCUGGAGCUCAACUCCAGAACUGCCUUUGGUACUGAGGAUCUUGAGUUCGGGAGAGGUGAGUGGAACUGCGAGUGUAGAGGUGAAAUUCGUAGAUAUUCGCAAGAACACCAGUGGCGAAGGCGGCUCACUGGCCCGAUACUGACGCUGAGGCACGAAAGCGUGGGGAGCAAACAGG
rnacentral:rRNA from 1 species